rnacentral:rRNA from 1 species
UACGAGGAGGGCUAGCGUUGCUCGGAAUGACUGGGCGUAAAGGGCGCGUAGGCGGAUGGUACAGUCAGAUGUGAAAUUCCUGGGCUUAACCUGGGGGGCUGCAUUUGAUACGUGGUUGCUUGAGUGGGGAAGAGGGUCGUGGAAUUCCCAGUGUAGAGGUGAAAUUCGUAGAUAUUGGGAAGAACACCGGUGGCGAAGGCGGGUCUCUGGGCAGUAACUGACGCUGAGGAGCGAAAAGCGUGGGGGAGCGAACAGG